rnacentral:tRNA from 2 species
GGAGAGGUGGCAGAGUGGUAAUGCAGCGGAUUGCUAAUCCGUAGUCGCCUAACAGCGGCUCCCGAGUUCGAGUCUCGGUCUCUCCG